GAGGCGGCCACCUCCUUCUCCUCCGCUGAGACGCUCAGACCCCCGCCGCUGCUCUCUCUCUCUCUCUCUCUCCCUACUUCACCUGCGGAGCUGUAGGCCCGAGAGUCGGCCGCCUCCUUCACCGGAGAGUUCACAUCGCACCAGAGGCCGCCUCCGUCUCUCAGUUUCUCCCUCUCCUCCGCCAUAGCUGUGAGGCCGAGACACCAAAAUAGGAGCUCGUUGUUCUUCAGGCUUGUACCACUGCUGAACACAACGAUCUGGAAAACUAUGGAAGCCAAUUGAUGGAUGGCCGCAUUGCUGCUGGAUAGGAGACUGGAAAAAUGGCUUGCUAAAUUACUGCAUCUGAAUUAGGACUUUAUAUUUCAUUGGAUAUUUGUAUUUGAAUCUGGACACUUUGAAUUUGAAUUGUACCUUCAAUUGUUCUUGAUGAGUAUUUGAAUGUGGACACUUUGAAUUCGAAUUUGCAGCUUGAA